rnacentral:rRNA from 1 species
GACGAACGCUGGCGGCGUGCUUAACACAUGCAAGUCGAACGGAAAGGCCCUGCUUUUGUGGGGUGCUCGAGUGGCGAACGGGUGAGUCACACGUGAGUAACCUGCCCUUGACUUUGGGAUAACUUCAGGAAACUGGGGCUAAUACCGGAUAGGAGCUCCUGCUGCAUGGUGGGGGUUGGAAAGUUUCGGCGGUUGGGGAUGGACUCGCGGCUUAUCAGCUUGUUGGUGGGGUAGUGGCUUACCAAGGCUUUGACGGGUAGCCGGCCUGAGAGGGUGACCAGCCACAUUGGGACUGAGAUACGGCCCAGACUCCUACGGGAGGCAGCAGUGGGGAAUAUUGCACAAUGGGUGGAAGCCUGAUGCAGCAACGCCGCGUGCGGGAUGACGGCCUUCGGGUUGUAAACCGCUUUCGCCUGUGACGAAGCGUGAGUGACGGUAAUGGGUAAAGAAGCACCGGCUAACUACGUG